UACAUGUAAUGGGAUUACAUAUUUAGAACACAAAAUAUGAGUAAAUGUAUUCCGUUAUACUUACAAUUUUAAUACAUGAUAAUCAGAAUAGAUACUUUUUUUAAUGAAAAAU